GACGAACGCUGGCGGCGUGCCUAACACAUGCAAGUCGAGCGAUGAAGUUUCCUUCGGGAAAUGGAUUAGCGGCGGACGGGUGAGUAACACGUGGGUAACCUGCCUCAUAGAGGGGAAUAGCCUCCCGAAAGGGAGAUUACUACCGCAUAAUAUUACAGUUUCGCAUGAAACAGUAAUUAAAGGAGCAAUCCGCUAUGAGAUGGACCCGCGGCGCAUUAGCUAGUUGGUGAGGUAACGGCUCACCAAGGCGACGAUGCGUAGCCGACCUGAGAGGGUGAUCGGGCACAUUGGGACUGAGACACGGCCCAGACUCCUACGGGAGGCAGCAGUGGGGAAUAUUGCACAAUGGGGGAAACCCUGAUGCAGCAACGCCGCGUGAGUGAUGACGGUCUUCGGAUUGUGAAGCUCUGUCUUUGGGGACGAUAAUGACGGUACCCAAGGAGGAAGCCACGGCUAACUACGUGCCAGCCGCCGCUGUAACAC
rnacentral:rRNA from 1 species